AGAGAGAGAGAGAGAGAGAGAGAAGAGAGAGAGAAGAGAGAGAGAAGAGAGAGAGAAGAGAGAGAGAAGAGAGAGAGAGAAGAGAGAGAGAAGAGAGAGAGAAGAGAGAGAGAAGAGAGAGAAUAAACCUGGUUUACUUCAUAAGAUUUAUUCACUACCAACUUGUUUCGUAUGACAAGCAAUGCUUGCCACACUCAUCAGGUGAAUUUAAAUGUCGCGCUAUGUUGUUGCCAAGGUUAUAUAUACUAUAUACAUGUUUGACGUAAACGGAAUGUUCAAGUAUUAAAUUACGUAUAGAU